rnacentral:rRNA from 1 species
AUACGGAGGGUGCAAGCGUUAUCCGGAUUCAUUGGGUUUAAAGGGUACGUAGGCGGAUAGAUAAGUUAGUGGUGAAAUCCCGAAGCUCAACUUCGGAACUGCCAUUAAAACUGUCUAUCUUGAAUUUGGUUGAAGUGGGCGGAAUAUGACAUGUAGCGGUGAAAUGCAUAGAUAUGUCAUGGAACACCGAUAGUGAAGACAGCUCCCUAAGCCAAUAUUGACGCUGAGGUACGAAAGCAUGGGUAGCGAACAGAAUUAGAAACCCCGGUAGUCC